rnacentral:rRNA from 1 species
AUUGAACGCUGGCGGCAGGCCUAACACAUGCAAGUCGAACGAGUGGCGGACGGGUGAGUAAUGUCUGGGAAACUGCCUGAUGGAGGGGGAUAACUACUGGAAACGGUAGCUAAUACCGCAUACCAUCGGAUGUGCCCAGAUGGUAUUAGCUAGUAGGUGGGGUAAAGGCUCACAUAGGCGACGAUCCCUAGCUGGUAUGAGAGGAUGACGAGCCACAUUGGAACUGCGACACGGGCCAAACUGCUACGGGAGGCAGCAGUUGGGAAUAUUGCACAAGGGGCGCAAGCUUGAUGCAGCCAUGCCGCGUGUAUGAAGAAGGCCUUCGGGUUGUAAAGUACUUUCAGCGGGGAGGCGUUACCCGCAGAAGAAGCACCGGCUAACUCCGUGCCAGCAGCCGCGGUAAUAC